GGCUAUCGGCUCAGCUCCAUUGGCCUCUCCUAGAGCAUAAACAUGCGGAGUGAUGGCUUGACGCUUGGCCCCAGGCCCUUUAGUCGGGCAAAACCUGGAGAUAUGGCCAAACUGGCCACAAGUGAAGCAAGCUCCUGGUGCGUAUGCUGCAGCUGGUGGUGCCUGCGCUCCCUAUGCUACUGGUGCUGCAUGCGCUACUGGUGCUGCUGAUGCUGCUGGUGCUACUGGUGCUAUUCCCCGCGCACCAAAUGGCCUACUCCGAC
rnacentral:lncRNA from 1 species